rnacentral:tRNA from 1 species
GAUGGGGUCAGCUAAUUAAGCUUUCGGGCCCAUACCCCGAACAUGACGGUUAAAAUCCCUCCUUCAUCA